GCAAGUCGAACGCUUCUUUCCUCCCGAGUGCUUGCACUCAAUUGGAAAGAGGAGUGGCGGACGGGUGAGUAACACGUGGGUAACCUACCCAUCAGAGGGGGAUAACACUUGGAAACAGGUGCUAAUACCGCAUAACAGUUUAUGCCGCAUGGCAUAAGAGUGAAAGGCGCUUUCGGGUGUCGCUGAUGGAUGGACCCGCGGUGCAUUAGCUAGUUGGUGAGGUAACGGCUCACCAAGGCCACGAUGCGUAGCCGACCUGAGAGGGUGAUCGGCCACACUGGGACUGAGACACGGCCCAGACUCCUACGGGAGGCAGCAGUAGGGAAUCUUCGGCAAUGGACGAAAGUCUGACCGAGCAACGCCGCGUGAGUGAAGAAGGUUUUCGGAUCGUAAAACUCUGUUGUUAGAGAAGAACAAGGACGUUAGUAACUGAACGUCCCCUGACGGUAUCUAACCAGAAAGCCACGGCUAACUACGUGCCAGCAGCCGCGGUAAUACGUAGGUGGCAAGCGUUGUCCGGAUUUAUUGGGCGUAAAGCGAGCGCAGGCGGUUUCUUAAGUCUGAUGUGAAAGCCCCCGGCUCAACCGGGGAGGGUCAUUGGAAACUGGGAGACUUGAGUGCAGAAGAGGAGAGUGGAAUUCCAUGUGUAGCGGUGAAAUGCGUAGAUAUAUGGAGGAACACCAGUGGCGAAGGC
rnacentral:rRNA from 1 species